UGCCAUAAGUUGAGGUUAUAGGGUUAGAGGGUCCCCCCCCCCCCAAGGGCGGUUAAGUUUGUUAGGUUUGUGGUGAAAGCAAACAUGCUGGUAAUUAACCAAUUCGUGUACGCCUGUGUUACAGUGAAUCGAUAUGUGCAUUGGGUUAGUAAUACGGAACAGUGUUGAUUUGUAAAGUGUUAUGCUUGCGCGAAGGAUACUUCAGCCCCAAGAAAAGUGUAUUCUCCUGUUCUGUCCGGUUCGCUGUUGCCGCUGUGCAAGUUGAAAUUAGGUUACAAAUCUGAAACUUAUGAAAUAAGGAUGGGAUCCACAACAUUACUCAUACGACAUUUACCGUCAUACUUCUCAAGUGACGAAAAAGAAGAACUUUUGAAAUAUUUUGGGGCAGUUCAAAUUAAGGAUUUGUCCUCGAAGAUUAAGAAGAGUAGUAUUGUAUUUGCAAGAUUUGAAUCCGAGGCAGCAGCUGUUGCAGCCCUUCACAGGCUGCACCAGCUAAAUAUUCUGGGGUAUCGACUCACUGUUGAGUAUGCCAGGGGUGUGGCUGAUGAUGUUUCUAGCCUGGUGCAGAGUGAAGACUUCCAUGAGGCCAAGGAGGAAAAGGAGAACAGUCACAGAUAUUUGCAAUUAUUUCUGCACAAGUUGAAGACAUGGAACUCUGCAGUGAAUUUCACACAGCCUCCUCCUUCUCAUCUCAAGUACCAAUAUCCACCCCCCACACCCACCGUUCUUCAUAACAUAUCUUGUGCUCUGGCUUCCGUUCCAAAAUUUUACACCCAAGUUCUACAUCUAAUGAACAAAAUGAACUUACCGUGUCCCUUCCAACCUGAACCUUUCCCCAGCUCAGACAUAUUUCCUAGCCCUGUACAUUCAGAUAUGAGGGAAGGGAAUGACAGUGUACCACUAGAACCAACUCAGACAGUUGAACUGAAUGAAGAAGAGGAGUCAGAACUUGAAAGUGAAGGAGAAGGACAGCAGUUACCAACAGACAUAAUUCCUGCCAAAAGGUCUCUGCCCCACAGACCGAAGAAAGUAAAGCGUCCAAAAUUUAUCAAGCCUGCUCUUGCAGCAACCACAUCCUCUGUGAAAAGUGUAAAGCCAGAAGAGGUGUUUGAGAAAAUAACAUGUGAGCACAUUCAGCGCAAGAUUGAACUCAAAUUCUCAACUGCAGUGGGCGGAGAUGAUGUGGAGAAGGUGGAUGAACAGGGUUCUUCCCCAUCUGGGGGUUUUGGUCUUAUGUUCCCCGUAACAAAGAAUGCUAAUGAAGCAGAAUCAGCUGAGAACAUAGGCAGCACAGAAGAUGAUACAUCAAAAGGCAGCACCAUCACAGCUGAAGAACUGGAGGCCAAUCGUGUAUCUUCUAGAGAUCAAAAACAUCAUCCAGUGUUCAGAAAUUAUCAGCCUGGCAUCCCGUCGUGUCGGCUGUACAUAAAGAACCUGGCAAAGCAAGUUACAGAGCGUGACCUCCAUUACAUAUAUCGUCGCUAUCUAAUAUCCAGCACUGAGGAGCAAGGCAAUAUUUUUGGAGUAUGGUAGUGUACCCUCCUCUGACUUCUAGCCAAAGUAUUAGAUGUCAGCACUCUACGGUUUCUUUGUAAUACAUAAUUUUUCUUAUGUGUUCUUCAUUGUUCAUCUUAGGUCUCAGAAGAUGAGGCACACUUGUUAGGUUGUCUGCAGUAGAUCAGUUGGUAGGGUGUGAUGCAGACAGCCAGUUUCCAGUGAGGUGAUUUUUUUUUAAAUUAUCAUGUCUGUAAUGGCUUGGAGAUAAGAUUACUUUUCGUUGUUAACUCUACAUGUAUUUAUUUACUUUCUUCUUCUCUUCUUACAUGGGAAUGAGGGGAGUGUGUGGGACUAGAAAAUAUACAAUAUUUUAAUAACAGUUAAACUUUCCACAUCGUCAGAGUAAUGUUUAAUGCAUCAGAAUAGGUUAACAGGCUUGCAGGGUUCAGGGUUUUAGAAGAAAGUCACUGUGAUGGGAAUCAAACCACAGCUGCCUCCACCAUAAGUGAACACACUGCUGAGCUACUGUGGGCAACCCAACAAGUAUAUCUCCAUUUCUGAGAUACAAAAUGAACAGUGAAGAAUAUGAAAAGAAAAAUUCUGUAUUACAUAGAAACAGUUGUGUUGAAACAUAAUAUUUUGACCAAGAAGUGGGAGGAGGGUGCUUUACAAUGCCGCAACACUGGGGCCAGAUCAGAGGGUUUCCAUUCAGCUGGUUCUCCUUGCUACUGCAAACAGUCACUAGUCCAGGUUUGAUGUACGGUUGAUGACAGAAGGGAGAAUGAAAGGGCAGGCUUUCAUCACACUGCAGAGCACAAAACAAGCAGAAACAGCACUUAAA